rnacentral:sRNA from 1 species
GUGCUGCCUGGCGCUGGCUAGGAGGCAAACGCACGCGGGAAGAGCUGCUACCCGUUCCAGGGACCCUGCCGCUGCCCCUCUGAGGGGUCUGCACCUCCUGGGAGCAGGUGGGUCUCUGGGACGAGGGUCCAUGGUGGAUGGCUCUGGAGACGCUCCCGAGGCUGUGCCGUCCCCCUGCUGCACAGGUCGGAGGGUCACCGCAGAGGCUACUCGGGCCGGGGCUGGGGCCGAGGGAGCCCACACUGGAGUCACUUAAUAUUACAGGGUCUCGCUCUGUUGCCCAGUGGCAUGAUCAUGGCUCACUGCAGCCUCCAACUACUGGCCUCAAGUGAUCCUCUUGCCUUGGCCUCCUGAAGUCCUGGAAUUAUAGGCGUGAGCCACUGCACUGGGCCCAUUUAAUACUCUGAGCCCCACCUUUCCCAUCUGUGGAUGGAGAUAAUGAUAAUAGCAUCUUUGUGGUGUGACUGUGAAGACAGAUGAGCAUGCAAAGCUCCAAGUGCCUGCUGAAUUAUAAGUGAAAUAAGAACGUGUGCUGCUGAAGGCUGUCCCUGGAGGCAGGGACACUCUGGCCAGGCCUC